GCUGAUUCCACCAUUAUCACACUCCAUAGAAUCCCUUGAAGCCCCAAGAGAAGUAGCAAAGCAAGGGAGAGCGUGGAAAAACUAAGGCGUAAAGUUAGAGUGAAGGUUGUGCUUCGAGGGAAUUGGUUCACAGGACGAUACUACAGCUUAAGAUCGCCUCUCUUCCAUACCGAGGAUCAGGUUGAACUGUGAUGGGCGAUGAAGUGUUGCUGAGUGGAGUUUUUGUCGAACUUAAAGUAGGCUCAGAAAGGAUACAUGUCUUCAUACAUGUAUCUCAGUUAUGCAUUCCGCUGUAAACACUGAUUAUUUCAGUUAUGCCUUCCGUUGCAAACUCUGAUAAUGUUUUAGCCAAGCCCCUAACGAUGCCUUUUUCCUUUUAAGGAAUAUAACGCGUAUACAAGUUCUUUGAGUA